CAGAUCUCCAGGCUCAAAGCGUCAGUCCACCAGCUGAACUCUCAGUCAGACUGGUGGAUGGGACCACUUCCUGUUCUGGGACAGUGGAAGUCUUCUACAGAGGAGAGUGGUUGGGUCUAUGUACUGUGUUGUGGAGAAUGAUGAGAGAGGUUAAGGUUGUGUGUAGAGAGAUGGACUGUGGGAAUCCUGUAUCUGAAUCUAGAGGACCUCUGGCUGAAGAUGGAAGAAGAGGAGUCACACUAUUGAGAUGUAGUGGAGAUGAGUCUUCUAUUAGACAGUGUGGCUUCAUAGGAGAACCUGGUGUCUGUAUUGGUGAAUAUUAUCAUCAUGUGACCUGUUCAGGUAAGAGACUGGUCAUAUUGAGAGAUUUAUUUAUACAUUAUACAAUAUUACCAUGUAUCAUGUUUUAUGUGUUUUUAUUUCAUUUAAAUAGAGGGAGAUGUCAGAUGUAUUUAAACAUUAUAUUUGUGUUUGUCAUAUUGGUUUAUGGGAGAUGUUCAUGGGCAGAUCAUUGUAGUUCAGAUGGUACUGAAGUGAAGCUGCCUGAUGGAUGUCCAGCUGUUUAUUUUCUAUAAAGUGAAGUGAACUUA